rnacentral:rRNA from 1 species
CACGUAGGGUGCGAGCGUUGUCCGGAAUUAUUGGGCGUAAAGAGCUCGUAGGCGGUGUGUCGCGUCGGCCGUGAAAACCUGCAGCUUAACUGUGGGCUUGCGGUCGAUACGGGCAUCACUGGAGUUCGGCAGGGGAGACUGGAAUUCCUGGUGUAGCGGUGAAAUGCGUAGAUAUCGGGAGGAACACCAGUAGCGAAGGCGGCACUCUGGGCCGGUACUGACGCUGAGGAGCGAAAGCGUGGGGAGCAAACAGG